AUUGAACGCUGGCGGCAGGCCUAACACAUGCAAGUCGAGCGGAUGAAGGGAGCUUGCUCCUGGAUUCAGCGGCGGACGGGUGAGUAAUGCCUAGGAAUCUGCCUGGUAGUGGGGGAUAACGUCCGGAAACGGGCGCUAAUACCGCAUACGUCCUGAGGGAGAAAGUGGGGGAUCUUCGGACCUCACGCUAUCAGAUGAGCCUAGGUCGGAUUAGCUAGUUGGUGGGGUAAAGGCCUACCAAGGCGACGAUCCGUAACUGGUCUGAGAGGAUGAUCAGUCACACUGGAACUGAGACACGGUCCAGACUCCUACGGGAGGCAGCAGUGGGGAAUAUUGGACAAUGGGCGAAAGCCUGAUCCAGCCAUGCCGCGUGUGCGAAGAAGGUCUUCGGAUUGUAAAGUACUUUAAGUUGGGAGGAAGGGCAGUAAGUUAAUACCUUGCUGUUUUGACGUUACCAACAGAAUAAGCACCGGCUAACUUCGUG
rnacentral:rRNA from 1 species